rnacentral:rRNA from 1 species
UGGGGAAUAUUGGGCAAUGGGCGCAAGCCUGACCCAGCAACGCCGCGUGAAGGAAGAAGGCUUUCGGGUUGUAAACUUCUUUUCUCAGGGACGAAGCAAGUGACGGUACCUGAGGAAUAAGCCACGGCUAACUACGUGCCAGCAGCCGCGGUAAUACGUAGGUGGCAAGCGUUAUCCGGAUUUACUGGGUGUAAAGGGCGUGUAGGCGGGACUGCAAGUCAGAUGUGAAAACCACGGGCUCAACCUGUGGCCUGCAUUUGAAACUGUAGUUCUUGAGUACUGGAGAGGCAGACGGAAUUCCUAGUGUAGCGGUGAAAUGCGUAGAUAUUAGGAGGAACACCAGUGGCGAAGGCGGUCUGCUGGACAGCAACUGACGCUGAGGCGCGAAAGCGUGGGGAGCAAACAGG